AGACCAUCAUCAUAAUUACUAAUCAAUAAUUCAGCAGAUACAACAACUCUUAUUAUUUCUCACGUUUUCUGCACUAGUUUUGCUAUAAACCUUAGCUUGUUAUUCUCACUGCCUUGAAGUCAUUUUAAUUGAAAUUUUGGAGCAUUCUCUGUAGCCCUUGUCUUUGCGCUUCUCUUCUAUGCCUUCAUCAUUAUUAGAGAGCUUCCAGCUGCUUAUGGAGGUCUCACGCAACUCUUUAUCUUUGGAUGGUUGAAAUAUGAAAUUGAAAGGAAGGAGAGACACGAAGAAAAUUGAAAAGAAGCUUGCUCAUGAAGUUUAAGUCGGCCUGCUGCUGUUUAAUGUUUAUUCAGUUCAACUCGAUUUUACGUAUGUAGCAGUUUGUGAUUGUGGAUCUGCUCUAUUAUUACAUAUGGUAAUUUUUUUUUCUUCUUUUUCUUCUAUUCUAUCUUUUGCUUUUUCUUUUUGUAAUUUAAAAAAUUGAUAAAGUUGUAUUCUAUUAGAAAUAAGAGAGUCAUUUAAAGAAUGUAUUAUUCAG